rnacentral:rRNA from 1 species
AGUGAACGCUGGCGGUAGGCCUAACACAUGCAAGUCGAACGGCAGCACAGUAAGAGCUUGCUCUUACGGGUGGCGAGUGGCGGACGGGUGAGGAAUACAUCGGAAUCUACUUUUUCGUGGGGGAUAACGUAGGGAAACUUACGCUAAUACCGCAUACGACCUACGGGUGAAAGCAGGGGAUCUUCGGACCUUGCGCGAUUGAAUGAGCCGAUGUCGGAUUAGCUAGUUGGCGGGGUAAAGGCCCACCAAGGCGACGAUCCGUAGCUGGUCUGAGAGGAUGAUCAGCCAAACUGGAACUGAGACACGGUCCAGACUCCUACGGGAGGCAGCAGUGGGGAAUAUUGGACAAUGGGCGCAAGCCUGAUCCAGCCAUACCGCGUGGGUGAAGAAGGCCUUCGGGUUGUAAAGCCCUUUUGUUGGGAAAGAAAAGCAGCAGGUUAAUACCCCGCUGUUCUGACGGUACCCAAAGAAUAAGCACCGGCUAACUU